rnacentral:misc_RNA from 1 species
GUCCCGCCACGGGAGCCAUCUUUGACUCCUCUACUUCAGGAAAUGAAUCAAAUGAUGGACCCAUCCAACACGUGGUAUUACCCAUCCAACUGUUACUAUGGAGGAGGUUAUGGUACCUCCGGGGCUGAUUGGCAGGAGUAUAACGGAUAUAUGAAUCAAGAUGGAGUGGAUAUGUCUUCUGUACCUUAUGGUGAUUACAACCAGAAUGGAUAUGGGUAUGUUCCCUAUGCUGCCUACCCCUCUCCUGAUUCAUCACAAACCCUUGGUA